rnacentral:rRNA from 1 species
CCUCAAAUCAGGCAGGACUACCCGCUGAACUUAAGCAUAUCAAUAAGCGGAGGAAAAGAAACUAACAAGGAUUCCCCUAGUAACUGCGAGUGAAGCGGGAAGAGCUCAAAUUUAAAAUCUGGCGGCCUGUUGCCGUCCGAGUUGUAAGCUAGAGAAGUGCCGUCCGCGCUGGGGCCAUGUACAAGUCUCCUGGAACGGAGCGUCGUGGAGGGUGAGAACCCCGUCUCUGACAUGGACCUCCCGGGGCAUCGCGAUGGCGCUCUCAAAGAGUCGAGUUGUUUGGGAAUGCAGCUCCAAAUGGGUGGUAAACUCCAUCUAAAGCUAAACAUUGGCGAGAGACCGAUAGCGAACAAGUACCGUGAGGGAAAGAUGAAAAGAACUUUGGAAAGAGAGUUAAACAGUACGUGAAAUUGUUGAAAGGGAAACGCUUGAAGUCAGUCGCGUCGGCCCGGGAUCAGCCCCGCAACCGCGAGGUGCACUCCCCCGUCGACGGGUCAGCACCAGUUUCGACCGUUGGAGAAAGGUCGGGGGAAUGUGGCAUCCUGGAUGUGCUUAUGCCCCCGAUCGCAGUCAUCGGUUGGGAUUGAGGAACUCAGCACGCCGCAAGG